UCACAUGUUCAAGGUCAGAUCGCAAUGU
rnacentral:sRNA from 1 species